UGGGAAUACAAAAAGAGCUAUGGAGACAU
rnacentral:piRNA from 1 species